rnacentral:rRNA from 1 species
GUCUACAGCCAUGCUACCCUGAACAAGCCCAAUCCCAUCUGAUCUCGGAAGCUAAACAGGGUCGGGCCUGGUUAGUACUUGGAUGGGGGACCACCUAGGAAGACCAGGUGUUGUAGGUG